AAAGAAGUCCAAAUAAUCUACAAUGAAUUAAAUCCUUGCAUUCUUGAGAAAGCAACUUGAGGAAUAUUUGUGAAUUGUGCAAGAAGAAUAUACUAUGUGGAUUAUUUCUAAAAUCAAAUGUUUGAAAUUAAGGAUGAGUUCUGAGCAUAGAAAGCAGCCUGAAGCCCCAGGAUUCAGGUCCCCAGA
rnacentral:lncRNA from 1 species